rnacentral:rRNA from 1 species
GACGAACUGUCCUAACGUUGUUCGGAAUUACUGGGCGUAAAGGGCGCGUAGGCGGCCAUCUAAGUCAGACGUGAAAUCCCCCGGCUUAACCUGGGAACUGCGUCUGAUACUGGAUGGCUUGAGUUCGGGAGAGGGAUGCGGAAUUCCAGGUGUAGCGGUGAAAUGCGUAGAUAUCUGGAGGAACACCGGUGGCGAAGGCGGCAUCCUGGACCGACACUGACGCUGAGGAGCGAAAGCCAGGGGAGCAAACGGG